rnacentral:lncRNA from 1 species
UAGAAUUACUAAAUCUCUAGUCAUUCUCGACUUCCAUGGCCGCCUCAACUCCAGAACUGCAAAACUGAAAAGAUAAGGGGUGAGCAUAUUGAAAAUAUACUCAGUGAGGAACAUAACAAAUAUCCACAUACGUCACAUACGUAAUCAAAUCACAUUAUCAUACCUGCAAACAUACGCCAAGAGACCGGAGCCCCUUGACAAACAUAAUCAUAGUUCGAGUCGAUGGCUUAAGUCCCAUGACCAAACACAUACAUAGAUCAAUGGCUUAGGUCCCAUGAUCAACUUAUCAACAUAGAUCAAUGGCUGAUGUCCCAUGAUCA